AACGAACGUUGGCGGCGUGGAUUAGGCAUGCAAGUCGAACGAAUCCCAGCUUUGUAGCAAUACCGAGUUGGGGAAGUGGCGAAAGGGGCAGUAAUGCGUGGGUAAUCUACCUCGGGGACGUGGAUAGCCAUUCUAACGAGUAGGUAAUACGCGGCGAUUUGGUUGAGGGGCAUCCCUUGGCCAGGAAAUGAAUUUCGCCUCGAGAGGAGCUCACGUGAUAUUAGCUUGUUGGCGGGGUAACGGCCCACCAAGGCAAAGAUGUCUAGCGGGUGUGAGAGCACGACCCGCGCCACUGGCACUGAGACACUGGCCAGACACCUACGGGUGGCUGCAGUCGAGGAUCUUUGGCAAUGGGCGCAAGCCUGACCAAGCGACGCCGCGUGUGCGAU
rnacentral:rRNA from 1 species